CGCGAAUGGCUCAUUACAACAGCUAUAAUUUACUUGAUCUUGACAACCUACUUGGAUAACUGUGGUAAUUCUAGAGCUAAUACAUGCACCAAAGCUCCGACCGUAAGGGAAGAGCGCAUUUAUUAGAACAAAACCAAGCGGCUUCGGCCGUCCAAUGUUGACUCAGAAUAACUAAGCUGAUCGCAUGGUCUUGCACCGGCGACGUGUCUUUCAAGUAUCUGCCUUAUCAACUUUCGAUGGUAGUGUAUCUGACUACCAUGGUGGUGACGGGUAACGGAGGAUAAGGGUUCGACUCCGGAGAAGGGGCCUGAGAAAUGGCCACUACGUCUAAGGAUGGCAGCAGGCGCGCAAAUUACCCACUCUCAGAAUGAGGAGGUAGUGACGAGAAACAACGAGACCGUUCUCUACGAGGCCGGUCAUCGGAAUGGGUACAAUUUAAACCCUUUAACGAGUAUCUAUGAGAGGGCAAGUCUGGUGCCAGCAGCCGCGGUAAUUCCAGCU
rnacentral:rRNA from 1 species